CCUUCACUGGAAAGUACCUCUCAUGGAGAAAAUUCAUCAAGUUGCAGGCUGAGCUGAGCUGAGGAAGCCGAACUCUACUCUCUGAUACCUGGAUGUGUGACCCUUGGACUUCGGCAACAUAGACAGGUCAAGAGGGCGGGCGAUGCUUUUCUGCCUGCUAUGGCAAACAAUAGGCCCUCUUUAAACGGAGCGGGGCGGGGGCCGACAGGAUAGCUUACUGGGUAAAGGUGCUUACCGCAGGACAACCUGAGUUUGAUCCUUAUGGAGAAGAGAACCAAGUCCCACACGUUGUCCUCUGACCUCCACACGUGUGCCGUGACAUGUGCGUCCCACAAUUAAAUAAAUAAAUGAAGAGAUGAA
ensembl:lincRNA Gm14235 predicted gene 14235